GACAGAGGAUGCAAGCGUUGUUCGGAUUUACUGGGCGUAAAGCGCGUGUAGGCGGCUUUGCAAGUCGGAUGUGAAAGCCCACGGCUCAACCGUGGAAGUGCAUCCGAAACUGCAUGGCUGGAGUCUCGGAGAGGAAGGUGGAAUGCUUGGUGUAGAGGUGAAAUUCGUAGAUAUCAAGCAGAACACCUGCGGCGAAGGCGGCCUUCUGGACGAUGACUGACGCUGAGACGCGAAAGCGUGGGGAGCGAACAGG
rnacentral:rRNA from 1 species